AUGUGGUCUUACCUUUGUCAGCGCUAUCAGCCCUCUGGUGAUGCUCUCUACCUAUCUGUGGUGCGUCAGGAGCAUGCUCUUCAGCAGGGUGACUCGUCUGUUGAUGAGUUCUAUUCACAGUGCUCUGCCAUCUGGCGUCAGCUUGACUCACUGAGGACUGUUGUUUGUGGCACUUGCCGUUGCUGUCAGACUGCGCGGUCUGACUUGGAGUUUCAGAGGGUUCAUGAGUUCUUAUCUCGUCUCCGCUCCGAGUUUGAGCCCCGCCGAGCUCACUUGCUUGCUCGUGGUCGUGUUCCUAUCUCGGAGGUGCUUGCUGAGCUUCGUGCUGAGGAGACCCGUCUUCGCUCUGCUGGGUUACUUGUGGUUCCUUCAGUGUUGGCCACCCGGGCUCCUAUGUCCUCUACUCGCCUCACUACUCCACCACUCCUGCCCACUCCUUCAGGGGGGGGGUGA
rnacentral:rRNA from 1 species